rnacentral:rRNA from 1 species
CAAUAGCGUAUAUUAAAGCUGUUGCGGUUAAAAAGCUCGUAGUUGGAUUUCUGUCAAGGACAACUGGUCCGCCCUCCGGGUGAGCACAUAGUUUGGUCUUGACAUCUUGCUGGAAGCUGUUGCUGCACUUGGCUGUGUGGCGCAGUGUUCAGCACUUUCACUUUGAGGAAAUUGGAGUGUUUCAAGCAGGCACAUGCCUUUGGACACAGUAGCAUGGAAUAACUAGAUUGGGCUUUUGCUCCAAUUUGUCGGUUUCUGGAGCUGAGGUGAGUAUUAAUGGGGAUUGUUGGGGGCAUCCGAAUUUAGCCGUCAGAGGUGAAAUUCUUGGAUCUGCUAAAGACGGACAACUGCGAAAGCGUUUGCCCAGGAUGUUUUCAUUGA